rfam:Gossypium hirsutum cultivar TM-1 chromosome 4, whole genome shotgun sequence
UGUUAAAAACUUUCAUCUAUUUGUACCGUUAAAAACUAGUGUGACUAAUGUAGUAACUAAACAGUAUCACAUGUAUUUAAUGUUGAUAAAUAUGGACCAAUUUUUAAUAGUAAAAAUAGAUGAAAUUUUUAAUA